UACAGAGGUCUCAAGCGUUGUUCGGAUUCAUUGGGCGUAAAGGGUGCGUAGGCGGCGCGGUAAGUCGGGUGUGAAAUCUCGGGGCUUAACUCCGAAAACUGCAUUCGAUACUGCCGUGCUUUGAGGACUGGAGAGGAGACUGGAAUUCAUGGUGUAGCAGUGAAAAUGCGUAGAGAUCAUGAGGAAGACCAGUGGCGAAGGCGGGGUCUCUGGACAGUUCCUGACACUGAGGCACGAAGGCCCAGGGGGAGCAAAACGGG
rnacentral:rRNA from 1 species